CACCUGAAAGUUUCUGUUCCUGAUGAAAUGUCUGCAGAUCUAGAAAAGAGAAGACCUGAGCUCAUUCCUGAGGAUCUGCAUCGCCACUAUAUCCAAACUAUGCAAGAAAGAGUCCAUCCAGAAGUUCAAAGGCACUUAGAAGAUUUUCGGCAGAAACGUAGUAUGGGACUGACCUUGGCUGAAAGCGAGCUGACUAAACUUGAUGCAGAGCGAGACAAGGACCGAUUGACUUUGGAGAAGGAGCGGACAUGUGCAGAACAGAUUGUUGCCAAAAUUGAAGAAGUAUUGUAAGUAAUAGAAGUAUAUGUGGAAAUGCCCUCUCUGCUGAGAUACUAGUUAUGCUUGAAGUACCCUUUGGGUAGGUUUAGAAAAACUGUCAGAUUGUGUAUGUGGAGCCGUUUAUUUUGUCAUAGUACUUGAGAAACUGGAUUUUUUUUUUCUUUUUUCUGAUACUUUUAGAUAAAUUUC
rnacentral:sRNA from 1 species